rnacentral:rRNA from 1 species
AUUGAACGCUGGCGGCAGGCCUAACACAUGCAAGUCGAGCGGAUGAAGGGAGCUUGCUCCUGGAUUCAGCGGCGGACGGGUGAGUAAUGCCUAGGAAUCUGCCUGGUAGUGGGGGAUAACGUCCGGAAACGGGCGCUAAUACCGCAUACGUCCUGAGGGAGAAAGUGGGGGAUCUUCGGACCUCACGCUAUCAGAUGAGCCUAGGUCGGAUUAGCUAGUUGGUGGGGUAAAGGCCUACCAAGGCGACGAUCCGUAACUGGUCUGAGAGGAUGAUCAGUCACAAUGGAACUGAGAAAAGGUCCAGACUCCUAAGGGAGGCAGCAGUGGGGAAUAUUGGACAAUGGGCGAAAGCCUGAUCCAGCCAUGCCGCGUGUGUGAAGAAGGUCUUCGGAUUGUAAAGCACUUUAAGUUGGGAGGAAGGGCAGUAAGUUAAUACCUUGCUGUUUUGACGUUACCAACAGAAUAAGCACCGGCUAACUUCGUG